rnacentral:rRNA from 1 species
AGGAUAAACGCUGGCGGCGUGCCUAAUGCAUGCAAGUCGAACGGGAGCCCUUUCGGGGGUCGACCGUGGCGGACGGGUGAGGAACACGUAGCUAACCUGCCCAGGUAUGGGGGAUAUGCGCUGGAAACGGCGUGCAAUACCGCAUACGUUCGGGUGUCGGGAGACGCUUGAGGAAAGCCGAGUAAUCGGUGUACCUGGAGGGGGCUGCGUCCGAUUAGCUAGUUGGAGUGGUAAGAGCACCCAAGGCGAUGAUCGGUAGCUGGUCUGAGAGGACGAUCAGCCACACGGGGACUGAGACACGGCCCCGACUCCUACGGGAGGCAGCAGCAAGGAAUUUCCACAAUGGGCGCAAGCCUGAUGGAGCAACGCCGCGUGGGAUGACGCGUUUCGGCGUGUAAACCCCUUUCGAGGGACGAAGGCAAUGACGGUACCCUCGGAAUAACGGACCGGACUAACGUACGUGACCAGACACGCCGA